rnacentral:rRNA from 1 species
GUGGGGAAUAUUGGACAAUGGGCGAAAGCCUGAUCCAGCCAUGCCGCGUGGGUGAAGAAGGCCUUAGGGUUGUAAACCCCUUUCAGCGGGGAAGAUAAUGACGGUACCCGCAGAAGAAGUCCCGGCUAACUCCGUGCCAUCAGCCGCGGUAAUACGGAGGGGACUAGCGUUGUUCGGAAUUACUGGGCGUAAAGCGCACGUAGGCGGAUUUGUAAGUCAGGGGUGAAAUCCCGGGGCUCAACCUCGGAACUGCCUUUGAUACUGCAAAUCUCGAGUCCGGAAGAGGUGAGUGGAAUUCCUAGUGUAGAGGUGAAAUUCGUAGAUAUUAGGAAGAACACCAGUGGCGAAGGCGGCUCACUGGUCCGGUACUGACGCUGAGGUGCGAAAGCGUGGGGAGCAAAC